rnacentral:rRNA from 1 species
AUUGAACGCUGGCGGAAUGCUUUACACAUGCAAGUCGAACGGCAGCACGGGAGCUUGCUCCUGGUGGCGAGUGGCGAACGGGUGAGUAAUAUAUCGGAACGUAUCCAAUAAUGGGGGAUAACUAGUCGAAAGAUUAGCUAAUACCGCAUACGCCCUGAGGGGGAAAGCUGGGGAUCUUCGGACCUAGCGUUAAUGGAGCGGCCGAUAGCUGAUUAGCUAGUAGGUGAGGUAAAGGCUCACCUAGGCAUCGAUCAGUAGCUGGUCUGAGAGGACGACCAGCCACACUGGAACUGAGACACGGUCCAGACUCCUACGGGAGGCAGCAGUGGGGAAUUUUGGACAAUGGGCGCAAGCCUGAUCCAGCCAUUCCGCGUGAGUGAAGAAGGCCUUCGGGUUGUAAAGCUCUUUCGCAAGGGAAGAAAACUUAACCUCUAACAUAGGUUGAGGCUGACGGUACCUUGAUAAGAAGCACCGGCUAACUACGUGCCAGCAGCCGCCGUAA